rfam:Gaeumannomyces graminis var. tritici R3-111a-1 unplaced genomic scaffold supercont2.3, whole genome shotgun sequence.
GGCAAGAUGGCCGAGCGGUCUAAGGCGCUAGCUUCAGGAGGAUCUCGAGAUCUGAGGGAUUUGCUAGUCACGCAAGUGGCGUGGGUUCGAAUCCCACUCUUGUCA